rnacentral:rRNA from 1 species
GUAGGUGGCAAGCGUUGUCCGGAAUUAUUGGGGCGUAAAGCGCGCGCAGGCGGUUCUUUAAGUCUGAUGUGAAAGCCCACGGGCUCAACCGUGGAGGGUCAUUGGAAACUGGAGAACUUGAGUACAGAAGAGGAAAGCGGAAUUCCACGUGUAGCAUGAAAAUGCGUAGAGAUGUGGAGGGAACACCCAGUGGCGAAGGCGGCUUUCUGGGUCUGUAACUGACGCUGAGGCGCGAAAGCGUGGGGAGCAAACAGGAUUAGAUACCCUGGUAGUCCACGCCGUAAACGAUGAGUGCUAAGUGUUAGGGGGUUUCCGCCCCUUAGUGCUGCAGCUAACGCAUUAAGCACUCCGCCUGGGGAGUACGGCCGCAAAGGCUG